GGAAAAAAUCUGAUCCCAUUAUCAUGAUUUACGAAUCAUGAAAAUUAUAAAUUGCUCUUGGGACGAAAUCAUGAUUCAGACUCAUGAUUUUUGAAGCUGAGCUACCACUAUCAUGAUUCAGAGCAACCAUUUUCAUGAGCUCCAAAUCAUGACCAUGAAAAGCGUUACGCACACGGUGCACCUGUCAAAACGUGUUUAGCAAAGCUUGUGCAAAGCAUAGUUGGCUGCGCAUUCACGGAAAAGUUGCCCUUUUUUUUAAAAAAAAGUUCACUUUUAUUGCCGGUUUCCUGCGCCGCUGUUGCUCUACUGUCGUUCCUGCUCUACUAUUCCGUUCCUGCUCCGUUGAUAUCGAGCUAUUCCGGCUCUGCAGAACUACCGCCGUUUCAUUCUGUUCCUUUCCUGCCGUGGCUGUUGCCCGUUCCGGCUCCUGUGUACCCGUUCCGGCUUCGCAUUGAGGGAAAAUUCUUCCGGCUCCGCUCUACUAACUACCGCCGUUUUAUUGUCCCAGUGCCACUGUCGCCAUUCCCGCCGCGGCUGUUGCCGUCCAAUAGGUGCAUCCGUUCCGGCUCCGCAUUGAGUGACCAGCUCCGCCCUACCAACUACCGCUCCCGAUUUUGUUGCCGUUCCGGACGUUUCGUUUUCAGCCUUGGCUGGUUCCGCCCAGUAGGUGUUCCCGUUCCGACUUCCCCCACAACUACCGAACGCAGGUGAUAUAGAAGGGAGGAUCGAGCGGCGACUGAACCAUCUCCGCGAAAAAUUUGGGGAAUCAUCGCUACAACCUCAAAUUGUCGCAGUGGGCGCGGAGUAUAUCGCAGAUA